rnacentral:rRNA from 1 species
GACGAACGCUGGCGGCGUGCUUAACACAUGCAAGUCGAACGGAAAGGCCCUGCUUUUGUGGGGUGCUCGAGUGGCGAACGGGUGAGUAACACGUGAGUAACCUGCCCUUGACUUUGGGAAAACUUCAGGAAACUGGGGCUAAUACCGGAUAGGAGCUCCUGCUGCAUGGUGGGGGUUGGAAAGUUUCGGCGGUUGGGGAUGGACUCGCGGCUUACCAGCUUGUUGGUGGGGUAGUGGCUUACCAAGGCUUUGACGGGUAGCCGGCCUGAGAGGGUGACCGGCCACAUUGGGACUGAGAUACGGCCCAGACUCCUACGGGAGGCAGCAGUGGGGAAUAUUGCACAAUGGGCGGAAGCCUGAUGCAGCAACGCCGCGUGCGGGAUGACGGCCUUCGGGUUGUAAACCGCUUUCGCCUGUGACGAAGCGUGAGUGACGGUAAUGGGUAAAGAAGCACCGGCUAACUACGUG